AUUGAACGCUGGCGGCAUGCUUUACACAUGCAAGUCGAACGGUAACAGGUCUUCGGAUGCUGACGAGUGGCGAACGGGUGAGUAAUGCAUCGGAACGUGCCCAGUCGUGGGGGAUAACGCAGCGAAAGCUGCGCUAAUACCGCAUACGAUCUAUGGAUGAAAGCGGGGGACCGUAAGGCCUCGCGCGAUUGGAGCGGCCGAUGUCAGAUUAGGUAGUUGGUGGGGUAAAGGCCCACCAAGCCAACGAUCUGUAGCUGGUCUGAGAGGACGACCAGCCACACUGGGACUGAGACACGGCCCAGACUCCUACGGGAGGCAGCAGUGGGGAAUUUUGGACAAUGGGCGCAAGCCUGAUCCAGCAAUGCCGCGUGCAGGAAGAAGGCCUUCGGGUUGUAAACUGCUUUUGUACGGAACGAAACGGCUCUCUCUAAUACAGAGGGCUAAUGACGGUACCGUAAGAAUAAGCACCGGCUAACUACGUGCCAGCCGCCGCGGUAACAC
rnacentral:rRNA from 1 species